GAUGAACGCUGGCGGCGUGCUUAACACAUGCAAGUCGAACGGAAAGGCCCAAGCUUGCUUGGGUACUCGAGUGGCGAACGGGUGAGUAACACGUGGGUGAUCUGCCCUGCACUUCGGGAUAAGCCUGGGAAACUGGGUCUAAUACCGGAUAGGACCACAUUUUGGAUGGUGUGGUGGAAAGUUUUUCGGUGUGGGAUGAGCUCGCGGCCUAUCAGCUUGUUGGUGGGGUAAUGGCCUACCAAGGCGUCGACGGGUAGCCGGCCUGAGAGGGUGUACGGCCACAUUGGGACUGAGAUACGGCCCAGACUCCUACGAGAGGCAGCAGUGGGGAAUAUUGCACAAUGGGCGCAAGCCUGAUGCAGCGACGCCGCGUGGGGGAUGACGGCCUUCGGGUUGUAAACUCCUUUCGCUAGGGACGAAGCGUUAUGUGACGGUACCUGGAGAAGAAGCACCGGCUAACUACGUG
rnacentral:rRNA from 1 species